AUUGAACGCUGGCGGCAUGCUUUACACAUGCAAGUCGAACGGCAGCGCGGGCUUCGGCCUGGCGGCGAGUGGCGAACGGGUGAGUAAUACAUCGGAACGUGCCCAGUAGUGGGGGAUAGCUCGGCGAAAGCCGGAUUAAUACCGCAUACGACCUGAGGGUGAAAGCGGGGGAUCUUCGGACCUCGCGCCAUUGGAGCGGCCGAUGGCAGAUUAGCUAGUUGGUGGGGUAAAGGCCUACCAAGGCGACGAUCUGUAGCUGGUCUGAGAGGACGACCAGCCACACUGGGACUGAGACACGGCCCAGACUCCUACGGGAGGCCGCAGUGGGGAAUUUUGGACAAUGGGCGAAAGCCUGAUCCAGCAAUGCCGCGUGUGUGAUGAAGGCCUUCGGGUUGUAAAGCACUUUUGGCGGGAACGAAAAGGACUGUGCCAAUACCACGGUUCGAUGACGGUACCCGCAGAAUAAGCACCGGCUAACUACGUG
rnacentral:rRNA from 1 species